rnacentral:rRNA from 1 species
AGUGAACGCUGGCGGUAGGCCUAACACAUGCAAGUCGAACGGCAGCACAGUAAGAGCUUGCUCUUACGGGUGGCGAGUGGCGGACGGGUGAGGAAUACAUCGGAAUCUACUUUUUCGUGGGGGAUAAUGUAGGGAAACUUACGCUAAUACCGCACACGACCUACGGGUGAAAGCAGGGGAUCUUCGGACCUUGCGCGAUUGAAUGAGCCGAUGUCGGAUUAGCUAGUUGGCGGGGUAAAGGCCCACCAAGGCGACGAUCCGUAGCUGGUCUGAGAGGAUGAUCAGCCACACUGGAACUGAGACACGGUCCAGACUCCUACGGGAGGCAGCAGUGGGGAAUAUUGGACAAUGGGCGCAAGCCUGAUCCAGCCAUACCGCGUGGGUGAAGAAGGCCUUCGGGUUGUAAAGCCCUUUUGUUGGGAAAGAAAAGCAGCAGGUUAAUACCCCGCUGUUCUGACGGUACCCAAAGAAUAAGCACCGGCUAACUUCGUG